ACCCUUGAACCCUAUGUGUUUGUUUAUUCGCUAGACGGAAAUAUUCCUAUUACGAGAAUGCCGGUCGUAAUCGACAGCAGGAUUAGGGAGGGAGGGAUGGACCCAAACUCUGCUCAGAGGAAGUAAUACACACCAAGGGAGGUGGAUUCAUUCAAAUGGAACAAUGGACAGAAAAGCAUCAUCAGAUUGCCCAUUAAGCUUGCUGCUGCUGUGAGAGAUUUUCGGAUUGUGAAUAGAUUAAAAGACAGGGAAGUUGGAGAUAGCGAACUGCUGCUUAUGUGAUAUAGUGAUGAGGAUAUUCUCAACCAUUUGCUCUGCAGAUAUAGUGCAUAGUUUUAUAAAGAACUUGAAACAUAUGUCGACUGUUUGCCUGCUCCGUUAAGUACUGUAACAUUCAGAGUAUUCUCCAGAUACGUCGGCUAUUGGGAGGUGUUACUUACAUGUGUGCCCGCAAUAACUAUUAAUCUCGGUGUGCAGAGUUUGUAGAACUCUGUUGUAUCAAUCCAUUGUUCUUCUAAAAAUUCUUUUUGUGUUUUAAGAAUUUAACUAUGCCAGACUGAGACGCAAAUGUUGUUCAGUCGGUCAAUAUGUUGAC